rnacentral:rRNA from 1 species
GAUGAACGCUAGCGGCAGGCUUACACAUGCAAGUCGAGGGGUAAGUUCCUACUUGUAGGAAACACGACCGGCGCACGGGUGAGUAACGCGUAUGCAACCUACCUCUAACUGGAGCAUAGCCCGAAGAAAUUCGGAUUAAUACCCCAUAAUAUUUUUGAAUCACCUGGUUUAAAAAUUAAAGUUCCGACGGUUAGAGAUGGGCAUGCGUGUCAUUAGCUGGUUGGUGAGGUAACGGCUCACCAAGGCUACGAUGACUAGGGGGCCUGAGAGGGUGAUCCCCCACACUGGUACUGAGACACGGACCAGACUCCUACGGGAGGCAGCAGUGAGGAAUAUUGGGCAAUGGAGGCAACUCUGACCCAGCCAUGCCGCGUGCAGGAUGACGGCCCUAUGGGUUGUAAACUGCUUUUCUGAGAGAAGAAUCCCCCAUACGUGUAUGGGGUUGCCGGUAUCUCAGGAAUAAGCAUCGGCUAACUCCGUGCCAGCAGCCGCGGUAAUACGGAGGAUGCAAGCGUUAUCCGGAUUCAUUGGGUUUAAAGGGUGUGCAGGCGGAAGAAUAAGUCAGUGGUGAAAGCCCGCAGCUUAACUGCGGAACUGCCAUUGAUACUGUUUUUCUUGAGUUCGGUUGAGGUAGGCGGAAUGUGUAAUGUAGCGGUGAAAUGCUUAGAUAUUACACAGAACACCGAUUGCGAAGGCAGCUUACUAAACCGAAACUGACGCUGAGGCACGAAAGCGUGGGGAGCGAACAGGAUUAGAUACCCUGGUAGUCCACGCUGUAAACUAUGAUCACUCGCUGUUGGCAAUACAUCGUCAGCGGCUGAGCGAAAGCAUUAAGUGAUCCAC